CGCUGAACUCUCUCACAGGGCCAUAGAGUUUCGAACUCGGAAUUGGAUCACUCUGACAGACCCGGCACUUGGUCCUUAAACGCGAUCCACGCUAGGUCCUAUUACGCGUGCGCCGGCCGCCUGAGCGUGCUUUGCGGACCAACAGCCCCGGAAAAGCCUCCAGAGCGUGCGCACCCCACAACCUCGCUGAGACGCCUCCGGAAGCACUGGCAGUUUCGGGGGCGGGACCUGAAAGCCUUUCCUAGGGGCGGGAGGCUCCGGCGGAAGUUAUCUUGCCGAGGCGGCGGAGGAGAAGGCCUCGGUGCGGUCGGCGCGGACGCUCCAGCGGGCUGGAGCCGCGGUCACGGAGCCUUCGGCAGACCGCUCUUUGAUGGCCAUGGUAUAAGGAACAUUAUCCCAGGAAUACAGCUUUACAGUAGUGAGAAUGCAAAUUACCAUAUGCUCCGAUUAAAGACAUCCCUGGAGGGCUUCAGUACAGGAGCUGGUAGGUAGGUCUGCUUCCCUGUUUCCUCGCUGUCUCUGUACUUUUAGGGUGUUUUUGAAAUGCUGUCUAAGAUUCGAUACACAAUUUUCUCAG
rnacentral:lncRNA from 1 species